UAUAUAUAUAUAUAUAUAUAUAUAUAUAAAAAACACCAAAGAUUUCCUUUUGCUUACCAGUGUUAAAAUUAGGGUUAAAUUUAAUUUAGUGGUAAACUUAGUAUUAAUUAUUUGCAAUUAUUUGCAUCAAUAAUUAUGUCAGUGGAAGGCCCUUACAAGGUUAAUAAAAACAAAACCUGUGUGUGUGAGAGAGAGAAUUAGAAAAUGUCAAUAUGUCAUAUUAUUUAAUUUAAAAGCAAUAUGGGGGAUUUCCCCCAUUCUGACAGCAAUCAAAACAUAAAACCAUUUGAAACAUGGGCAGUCUUCAUAUUAUACAGUAAUAGUUUUGCAAAAGUGUGUUUCAUAGAAAUUCCAUAAUCUUAAAGUCCUGCAAACAUUAUGAGACAAACAAUGAUGGUAUGUAGCCUUUUAUUUCACAUUUGCAUAGCAAUACAAAAUAGUGUUUUUGAAUUCAACUGUAACCACAUACAAAAUAUUAGAAAUGACUAGAUUUCAGAUUUAGUUUAGGUUCAUUCUAAUAACCAACAACAAUAAUCAAACCAAUCGAAAUGUGUUCAAAUAGGAAAAGCUUCUUCACAAGAACCAGAUGUCAAGAUGGCUGCCAUCCUUCAGUUAUCACAGUACUGUACCUUUAAGAUGGACAGCAUCAGCACUGUGAUAACUGAACAAGGGCAGCCUGUCACGUCAAGAAGAGCCAAGAUGGGUGCGUCCUCUCCAUCAAAUACCUUACCUUCAGCCAUACUGUAUGUAAACAUACGAUUGGCGGAAAUAAACGACCACUGGAGACAGGAUUCAAGUAAAUAAAAACUAAUUAAAUAUUUUUUUUAAUUCUAAAGAGAAAAAGAAGAAAGUUUGAAUUUUAGAAAUUUAUAAAUACUGUGUUUAUUUAAACACAAGAAUUGAAUUUUAGUCAUGUAUAAUAACUGUUUAUUUAAUUUUAAAAAUAGAAUAUUUCACACAAAAUGUAUACAAUCCUUGUGUUCUGUUUCGGUCAGAAUUACCUGUUUUAUUUUAUUUUUUAUUACUGAAAGUUUAUUUACAAAGUCGAAAAAAAACUUUGAACAAGAAACAAGAAACUUAAUGUGUUUGACCUAUUUGCUGUACUUAACAUGAAAAAGAAGAAAUUUACUUAAUGGGAAUCUGCAGCAUGCUAUAUCCCACUUUAUAUUUAUAUUACACAGGUCAUUUUGACUAGAGAAUAAAACGAAAAGUGGUGAAAUAUAAAAUCACAAUAGUAAAACAAACACGUGAAUCCAGUCUAUUACGCUCUAUUACCUCCAUGUCUUAUUUGCCCUCGUACCUGUUUACACACACUUGCUAACAGGAACAUCCCCAGGCAUGAGAAGUGGCUCUGUGUCUUUACUGUUCCUCAAAAAACAAAGAUGUAUUCAUAGUCGGUUAUUUUACAUAUUGUUUACUGUCUCGGCUACCCGAAGAUAAUAUGACUCAUGAACAUUAUAUUCAUUACUAAGUAGUAAACAGAACACAAGUAUAACAUAAAUAAAGCAGCGGCAGUG
ensembl:lncRNA